GACGAACGCUGGCGGCGUGCUUAACACAUGCAAGUGGAGCGACGAACCAGGGCUUGCCCUGGGGCAGAGCCGCGGACGGGUGAGUAACACGUGGGUAACCUGCCUCGAUGAUCGGGACAACCCGGGGAAACCCGGGCGAAUACCGAAUGUGCUCCGACCACAUCAGGGGACGGCGUAAAGGAAGCUUCGGCCUCCGCAUCGAGAUGGGCCCGCGGCCCAUUAGCUUGUUGUUGGGGUAAAGGCCCACCAAGGCUUCGAUGGGUGGCUGGUCUGAGAGGACGAUCAGCCACACUGGGACUGAGACACGGCCCAGACUCCUACGGGAGGCAGCAGUGGGGAAUCUUGCGCAAUGCGCGAAAGCGUGACGCAGCAACGCCGCGUGGGGGAAGACGGCCUUAGGGUUGUAAACCCCUUUCAGGAGGGACGAAGGUCGGCGCGUUAAUAGCGUGUCCGACUGACGGUACCUCCACAAGAAGCCCCGGCUAACUACGUGCCAGCAGCCGCAGUAA
rnacentral:rRNA from 1 species